GCAUCGGGAGGAGGCGGGACUGGGCUGCGCGCGCCCGGGGCGGGGACCCGCUCCCCUUGCUGGGCGCUCCCUCGCGGCGCAGUGCAGUGCCGGGGCCGCGGGCAGGGAGCCCCCAGGCAAGACUUCAGGUCGUUACUAGCUUUGAAGUAAGACUUUUCCUGUCCCCUGCCCCUGAGCCUCGGGGGCCCGGACUCUCCCUGACCGCAGAGCUAUGGGUCACCCAAAUCCGGCGCUGGCCUGGCUCUACCAAGUCCGCCGCUCGCCGGCCAGAGUGUGGGCGUCCUUCCUCCGGAGCCUCGCCAAAGCUGGCGUGGCGCUUCUCCGCUGACAGCUCUCCUCACUUCACAGUCCUUGGGUAUUUAAAGUCAUCGUGGUAACCCAUCCCCUGAUCUGGAUGCCUUUAAUUUUCUUAUGAAUUUACUGCGCUAGAGACGUUCAUUCCUUAAAACGCAUUGACUGGGGUCGCGCUUGGCUCAGGGCGCUGUCCCAGGCUCCUUGUCGCCCAAGUAUCCCAAAGCUCCCAUCCCUGCCCGCGCGGCCGGGUCAGUGAGCCCGCGCUGUUUGGAGGACGCCCAAAGAUUGCUGCAAGCGAGGAAGGCAUUCGGGCUCCCGACUGGAGUUCCAGGUCCUGGAAGAACGACUGAGAGUUGAAAGGUUACGCUCCAGGCCGGGGCUCCAUCGCGCGUUUGCAACCAUCAGACAGAGGGCCCAGACAGGAUCUUCCUAAGACGGACUGCCUCAGCCCCCAUAACUAAGCUGUGAAAACACUCUCAGUUUUAGGAGCAGAAUGGAAGUCACUCCAUCAGAAUAAAGCGUUUGUGGAGCUACGCUGGCGAUUCCUAAAACCCUGAAAAUCCUCUCUCAGGACGGCGAAUUGAGGUUGUUCUCUCCGUGCACAUUUGCGCAGUAGAAAUGGAUGGCUGGUUCGCUGAUCUGUCCGCAGCAGCAAAAAAAAAAAUCUUUAACAAGGGAACUUGAAAGAUGCUGACAAAACAAAUUCUGAUUCUAAGCGACUUGGCCAGAUUCCUAUCUACAGAUCAACCAGGAUUUUCUGGCAAGAAUUUGGAACUGAUUUCAUGCAGCCCACCGGGCAGACUUUUACACUGUGCUGGAAAUUGGAAGUCGCUGCUUUUCAGCAAAGCAUUGCGCAAAGUCAGGCCUGAUCAACUUGUGUAAAAGACCUUGGAUCAGCUGUCUGCUUUCACAAAGUCUUCUACUGCUGGGUUACAGGAGUCCUGGAAGUUCCGAACGAUGCCCCAGGUAUAGACCCAAAAGAAUUGAAAUCAAGCACUCGAAGAGAUGUUUGUACACCUAUGUUCAUGGCAGCAUUAUUCACAAUAGUCAAAAGACGGAAGCAACCCACGUGUCCAUAAACAGAUGAAUGGAUAAACAGAAUGUUGGAUAUCCAUACAAUGGAAUAUUAUUCAGCCUUAAAAACUAAGGAAAUUCUGACACAUGCUAUAACAUGGAGAACUUUGAGGACAUUAUGGUCACCUCUGGGAGUGAGAACGUGGACUGAGUCCUCUCUGCCCUCAUCUUCUGCCCCUGGAGAGUCCCCCUGGAAUCUGGCCAUGCUCCUCUCCUAGGUUCUGGAGAAGGUGGGGAGAUGAAUGUUCCGAACUUGUGGAAUUUAAGACUGUUCCAAGUGGCAUGUGCCAGCAUCCCCCCUUCUCUACUUCACCCCACUCGCACCACCCACAAAUGCCAGGCUUCUAGCUGUCUCAGAAACUGAGAGUCUUUUGUGAAAUAUUGUCCCUCUGGGAGCAUGACCUCCUUCCUUAUGGGCAGCUGGGCCAGCUCACAAAUGUGUGGGGGCUGCUUCUGCCCCCUCAGCAGACUCCUGGCCCUGCACGUCCUCUGCUCAAGCCAAGAGAAGCAUGGGAUCUCCUGCUCAUUGAAGACUCUUGCCUAGGAAAGAGGCACACACAGAAUGUCCUCCUCUAGGAAGGCCAUACAUCACCAACCUCCUUUGCAGAAGCAGGAAUUUGUAGAGGGCUCUGCCCUUGCACGGUGUAUACGCCUUACUUUUAUGAGGUUGUCUUCAGUUGGGUGCCCCUAAGAACAGAGCCUGGGAUAGGGUCUUGAGUGCAGACACUUAAGUUAGGUAAUUCCAGGGAGCAGAAAUGAGGAAACAGGCGAGGGAGAGAGGGAAAGAAGCAAAUCCAGUAUCAGGUAGUGUUACUGAGGUCACUGCCACAUGGACCACGGACCACAAGGACAUGCUGAGAGGCUUCCAAGACGUGUCAUCUGAAGACUGUAGGCUAAUGCACUCGGCCACUUCCAGGCCACCUGUGGGCUGUUGUUCCAGCUGCCCAGAAGAGAACCCCAGCGCAGGAAGACUCUCACCCUUGAGGUAGAUGGGCUGUUGUCAGUGGAAGAUGAACCCGAGCUCACACAGAACUGACCUCCUUGGAUGUAGCUGAAAGGCGGACCAACAACGCAAGAGGAAUCUGCCUCAGAGGUACUACUCAGAAAAGAACCUGCCGCGCUCCAUGCCCUGCACACCGUUGUUUUCACUGAAUUCUCACAGCAACACUGUGAAAUAUCUUAUUACCUGCAUCUGACAGAUGACUAACCUGAGGCUCAGAAAGACCAGGUAACCAGGUCACAAAGCUCGUAAGUGACAAAGUCAGAAUUCCAAGUCAAAGCAGUUGGACUCCCAAACUCUUCCUCCUUCUCACCUCAGCCUUGGCUGCAGGAUCUUCUCUGAGUCCCUUGUCCCUGAACCACUAGACGACCCCAGCUGCCCCCUGAAUCCAGUCCCAUCUAUCCAGUUCUUUGCAGAGCCUCGGUCACAGGAAACACCUCUCAAGGAAUAGCACAUGCACUCGGGUGUGCUCCUGGGGACGCAGAGAUUCCUGUCCAUGCUCAGUGUUCCAUCAUUCAACAAACGUUCACUGAGGGCCGACAGUGUGCAAGGCCCUGUAUGCGGUAAUGAACCACACAGAGUCUCACACUCACACAUUCACAUACUCACACACACUCACACUCUGUCCCCGCACAUUCUCACACACACACAGUCUCACACACUGACACUCUCACUCCCUGCCCUGCCACGAAGUCUGCUCACUUUUCUUCCCUUAUUGAUUUGAAGCUCAAAUUGACCUGGUCUUGCUCCUAGAGACAGGAAGAGAUUUCUGUUUUCCCAUCAUCUUUCAAAACAGAGUGACUGGCAAUACUAAUUUUGAACCUACUAAGGAUAAUUUAAGUGACCCAAGAAGGGAUUUACUUAGAGGGCAGGGCCAUGGUUUUUUUUAUCCCCUCACAGCAUCUGGCAAAGGCAUUUACAUGAAGAAACUAUUUCUUGAGCGCUGUAAUAGUGUAAAUGAGAUUAUAAGGAAACGAUUUAACCUAUUCAACAGAACAAUUCUCUCUAAGCAUUCUUAAACUAAGCAUCUUAUAGGAAAAAAUUAGUUUUAAUUAUGAAUCGGACAUUUAUUUCUUAAUACAUUUUCCUAAGUCCCGCCAUUUCUUUAAAGAUAUAGGAUAACCCAGAUUUUCUCCAAUUCAGCCUCUAUUGCAGAACUGGUACAAUUUCUAAGUUUACAUGCACCAUCCAUUUCAGAAAAGGGUAUUCAGCCCUUCCCUUUGUCCUCCAUUACCUCCACAUCAGCUGUCCUGCUCUGUGGAAACCUCCCAGGGUCCCAUCACCACCAAGUACAUGAGGCAAUUCCACAUAAACAGCAGACGACACAAGAGAUGACACAAGAUGGCCAAGACACAGGGAGAACUUGUCAGAUAGACUUUUUCUUCCUUAUCGCUCUUUUCCUCAUCCACAAUUGUCUCCUCAACGAAUGAAAGUGAAAUUUGAGUACUACUAGGUCAGUUUCCAGCAAAAACUCUUGCCAGGUCUCUGAGAACAUGUCUUUCCACGCUCUGCUCCUGAGCACCGUGCUCAUUCUCUCCAUGCAAGGGCAAAAUACAACGUCCUCUUGCACCACGAAGAAUUAGUGAUUUCCUGGAAGACAACGUCACUCUCUUAUUAAUGUGGGUUAAAGCGGCAAUAGCGAUAGCUUGUUUGUUGAGCACUUUCCAUGACAAUUGGAGUUCUAAACACUUUUCUUACACAGGACAUUUAAUCCCCCAAAAAAUCAUAAAGGAUGCAACUAUGAUUAUUCCCAUUUUUCAGAGGAGGAAAAUGAGACUAAAGGAAGUUUGGAAACCUGCCCAAAGUAAGCGAAGGAACCCUGUCUCCCACGCUCCAACCAUUAGCUAUCAUGCAACUCAGCUUCUCUAGUGGAUCUCCUAGUCCGUGUCUCCUUCCAGAACCUAGACUCUAGCACUUUCUGUGUUCAGUUUCUGAUUCAAUGAACUCUCUAGGUCCCUGUAAACAAGUUAAUACGCAUUAACUUAUUUAACUCUAAAGAUAUCUAGCUUCUUAAACAGGUCAUAUUAGCUUCAUCUAUAAUGUGUUUGAGAAAAUUGACAUAUUCGCUCAUGUCACAUAGCUAGAAAAUUGCACUAAAUGUUUUAUAAAGCUCGGCCUUCAUGGGGCCACUUCCAAGCCCUCCCUGGCCCUGCGACACCAGAAGCCACAGCCGUGUGAGAGAAGGGACUCCGAUGGGAUGCUGCAGAGUGGUGCGGGCAGAUUGGUUGGGACAGCGCUCCCUCUGGCGUCUCCCCUCACCAGGGCUCCAAGGAGGACUCUGGGCUUCUGAAUCGGGGUCAGCCCUCUGACCCUGACCCUUUUAUUCCAGGGGCUUAUCGAAGGCAGCUUCCUUAGGGUGGUGAGCAGCAGUCCGCUUACCCCUGGGGAAGCAGGGGGGUCAGGAGGCCUGAAAUGAGGGAGAGGAGAGACCCGACCCCAGUGCAACCCAGAACUCACCUCUGCCAGGCCCAGGGGUUGAGAGGAGGGAGUACCAGUGUCCUCCUCGCAAAGGAGAGACAUUAGAUGCCCUUGAUCGGCAAUUUCUAGAGUCAUCAGAGAAAAUGCGUGGUGCUCUGCUGUUGCCCCAUCAGCCUUCGUAUUUUUCCCCCUGUCAUUUUCCUUUGCUCUGAAUCUCUUCUAUUUUUAUUCCUUUUAUUCUUUUAUACUACCCAUAUAUCUCUAACUGCCCUCAAAUCCCCUUUGUGCACAAGAAAAGGUUUAAAGAAAUAAAUGAGAAUAAGUGAGGCACCUCUGAGCGCUCCUUGCAGCGUACUCCACACCCAUGCCUCCCGUCUCCUCAGAGAACCGUCUUGCAGGGUCAGAAAGGGCCUGACCCUAGAAUUCUCUGCUGCUGGAAGAAAUAGCUAGUGAUGAAUCCAGUCAUUUGCUUCUUUUCACAAACUUAACCACAGGUUAUUAGGAAACUUGUUUCUAGUGGCCUAGCUAGGAGAAAUAGGCCUACAACAGGGGACCCCAGAUCCCUCUGGACCUAGAAACUCAGGGCCGGGGUGUUGGAGGAAUACUUGUGGUUGCCUGUCUCUGGAUUUCUAAUCAAGCUGUCCCAGCCAGUGAACAUCUGAAAGUUGAAUAUGAAUUUGGUGCUUCUCUGAGAGUGAGCAUCUGCAGGAAAUGCCUGGCUGUCUGUUAGGUCUGUUGGGCUAAAGAGAGCCUGCUUGGUUUCUUCUGCCUCUGCCAGCAAUAAAAUGUACUGUUGGUACAAAACAGUCUUUGCGCAGAGAAUGCCUUGGUCACCUGAGGCAGAAAUCCGAUAAUGAGCAGAGCCCUCAGCCACGACACAUUGGAACAGCAUUGAUAAUAGUGGGAGCCCCUUUGUUGCCCAGCGCAGCAUUCUUUGUAAGCAGGGAUCCUGCCAGUUGGACCAGAAGCCACAAUCUCCUCACAUUUUGUGGAGAGGGAGUUAGAAGUGUGGACACGUCCAGGACACUGACCAAGGUCACACCAUUGGUCUGUGAUACAGAUGACUUCCUUCUGUAAGGUUGGUGUUCCAUUUAUUCUACAAAGACGUCUGCCUUCAGGCAAUACCAGUGCUGAGUGGAAGCUGCAAUCACCCUGUGAUGGGACCCACCCUACAAAUGUGCUCAUUUGAAGGAACCCUAUGAUAAAUCCUUAAAAAAAUACUCUGCUGUAAAAUACACCCACCCACCUGCAUACCAAUGCACAACUUCCCGUGGAAGCACCUCCCCCCACAUCCAUCCCACUCUUUGCCACUAUUUAUCACUGCUGGGAUCACCGAAUUCCGUAUGGAGGCUCUGGCAGAUGGGCUAGGUUGCAACCUUUGAUACCUUUUUGGUUCAUAGCAAAAGCAUCCCAUGCUUGAUAGGUUUAUGUAGGCCUAUAUCAAACAAAAAGUAACAACAUUGAAACUAGAAAUAAACUCAGACCCAUGUCCCUUCUUCUCUUCCUUUGUCAUAACUGGUCAUCCAGACAUGGCCUGGUCACCACAGGUAGGCUUCUGUGGAAGUUGACUUUUUCCUUGAGAUUAAUUAACAGAAUAUUGAGCCAGGCCCAGGCAGCAUCUUUCAGGGGUUCUAAUGAGGAUUAAAAUCUGCACUACUCCUGUACCAGGUAGGCCAGUUGUCACUUCUCUGCCCACAUCAAUUGGUGGGGGAGGGGGAAGUGAUCACAUCCACAGUUCCUACUGAAGGGGUAGCCUGAGGCCAUAGUUGACUAAAGAUGGACAUCUGACACUGAGGUAGGGAAAGAUGGGGUGGAGCGCAAAGUCAAUUGCUGGGCUGAGACUAACAGGUUUCUCUAUCAAGAAUGGGAAUUACAAAACCCAGACCCUGUGAUUAGACCCUGGGUCAUGGAGAUUUGGGCCCAUGUUGCUGGCAUGGUGAACCAGAGACACAGUCAACCAUCUAGUUAUUGAAUUUAUAUCAUGUGGAGGAAUCAGAAUAAGCAGAAAUGGAAGAGGCGUAUGGCCCCAGAGUCAGAAAUCUCAGGUUCUGACUUAACAGGCUCUGUCCCAUGAGCCUGACUGACUUUAUUUUCAGCCCUUGGAAACCUGUGCAAUUGCCUGUUGGGGCCUCACAAAUAAUACCCAUUUUCUUAAACUUAUACAAAGAUUUUGCUUCUUGCUGCUCUUUCUACCCCAAAGAAGACAGCUCCUUAUCACCACUGUGAAGGUCAAGGACGGAGGGAUGCUUGGUCAGGCCAGUGAUGCUGCUGCUGAGGACAAGAGGAUGCCCAGGCAACCACUGUCCCCUGAACCAGUGCUGUGUGUCAGGGGUGCAGGCACAGACUGGCCGGGUGCGAGGGCUAUUUGCAGGAGGCAGAGCUGCUAUAGAAAGUGCCCGAGAAGGAAAAGCAAAACUGUUAAAAUGAAGCCAAUCUAAUGUAUUUUGUUGAUUCUAAAACAUAUCUUUUUUAUUAUUCAUGGCUUAACAUUUGUGAAAUUAGGUUGUUUCUCACAGUCACUGUCUGCCAUCGAGAACCAUUGUAGUUGUCAUGAACAAACUUGGCCAUGGCUGUUCACAGUGUUGUCACUUCAACUGAGUCAUAUGCCUUGUCACAGCUACAAGAGUUGAGUUUGUGGUUGAAAAUAUCUUCAGGAAGAUUUCACUAUGAUCCGGCAAUCCAGCAGAAAAGUCAUUGUGGUUGAAGAAAGUCAUGGAAAUAGAGCAAUAGAGUAUGUAGUUUAAUUUAACGAAGCAAAUAUUUUUGUUGAAGGAAUGACUGUAAUCUCAUAAUUCUUUCAAAGCAAUAACCAAGUGCUUUAGAAACCCAUAGAAGGAAGAAAUUAUGGUACAUUUUGUUACUGAGAUAAAUGCACAGGGAUGGCUUAUCACCCACCAACACAAUGCAGCUGAAGGCAAAAGAAAUUGGCAAAUCCCUCAGUACAGAUGAAAGGAAUUUCAAAGCGCCCAGAAGCUGGCGUGCUCAAUCCAUGCAUUGAGCAGGAAUGUUAUUAAGGCUGCAUCCAGUGUAACUGGCAAUAGUUUUUUCUUUUUCAGCGGCACAUAAGUAGUAUGACUUACAAUUGAUGGAAUCUUAGAUUAGAUGAGUUACAGUAAUAAUAACCAUCAAACUGUCUGAACAGGCUUACCUCCAACCAAGAAGUAAGCCAUAAGCAACUUAUAUUUCAGCCAUCUGUUUAUCCACAAUGGUAACCAACAGGGGAAAGCAAAGUACUUCACAGAGCUCUGCAGAGCUUUUAAGUCAAAGGCUUUGUGACUGUUCAAGUUUAAUACAUGAAACACACCUUCUGCACUACAAGCUCAGAACAGGCACCAGAUGCUUCGAAACUUCCACUUCGUCAUGGUUCUAUCAGUUUUAAUUAGCAUGUGGAGGAAAGAUGAAAGGAGGCCACAAGUAUCCCGUUUUUCUCUUCACUUCAGACCCAGUGCCCACUGCUCCAGAGUCCGUGCCUUGGCACUGCUUUUCCCUUCCUGCCUUUCCUGAUCCCUUCCUUUCUCUAUCACUCUCUUCUCUUUACCUCCCCACAGCAGCAGCCUACAAAUACUGGAGAGAGGGGAAAGUUUAGCUAAAAUGGAGGUAAUAACCAGGGAUAAGUUCAGUACGUUUCCAAGUGCGUAUGGGUGCACACAUUCCUGUGUACAGAGCCAACGUUUCUUUUCUCAUUCCCAAUAGGGUCUUCCAGAGUAACAAUGUGAAACCGUGAGUUCCUCUCAAUGUACCCAAAAAAAAAUCUAACAAGAAAAAUAUGUGUUCCUUUGAUAAAACUCCCCAGUCUAAAAUACCUCCAUUUUUACUUAUCAAGAAUAUGUUUUGGUAUAUGUGGAGAUCGAGAGUCCUAACAUUACAUUCUCUCAGAUAAAGAACAGCUUAGUCCAGCGUUGUGUAUUCAAUAAACACUUGAAUUGGAGUGCCAACUCUCAUAAAUCAGUUCUCACACAUUCUAGGAUUUGUGUAUGGACUCUGUGCUCUGCCUCACAGACUCAAAUGUUUACUUUUAUACCAAUAUCAUACUUCUAAUUUCACUAAGUUUUAUAUGGUAAAUUUUAAUGGCUGAUAAAGCAUAUAUGCAAUCAUCAUUUUACUUCUCAAAAGUAUCUUAGCUAGUCUUCCUUAUGAAUUGUAAAGUAAUUUGAACCAGUUAAUAAAAAAAUUAAGAUUCCUAUUGAAAUUGUAUUAAAUGUGUGUGUAUAUACACAUAUAAUUUGGGAAGAUUAAUAUUAUCAUGAUAUUAUGUUUUCCCAACCAGGUAUAUAGUAUAGCUCAGUUCAUACUUUAUCUUAUUUCCAGUGAUGUUUGUGGCUUCCUCCAUUUGGUUUUUGUAGCUUUGUAAGCUAUUUUAUAUUUUUGUUGCUAUUGAGAAUUGGAUAUUUUUUAAUUUCCAUUUCUAACUGAUUAUUAUUUAUGUAACGAAAAUAAUGUACCACCAUUUGUGUAUUAGCAGUUAAUCCAGUCACCUCACUAUAUUUGCUUAUUAAAUUUCAUAUCAUCACAUAGAGUCCCUGGAGUUUUCUAGGUAUACAAUUUUAACAC
ensembl:lncRNA